CUAUUCCCAAGCGAUAGGGGGGGCUCUAUAGAGACACCUGCAAGCAAAAUGCGAGAAAACAGCAAAGAAAUGGCCAAAACGGCAUAGCGCCCCU